GACGAACGCUGGCGGCGUGCCUAAUACAUGCAAGUUGAGCGCUGAAGGUUGGUACUUGUACCGACUGGAUGAGCAGCGAACGGGUGAGUAACGCGUGUGGAAUCUGCCUUUGAGCGGGGGACAACAUUUGGAAACGAAUGCUAAUACCGCAUAAAAACUUUAAACACAAUUUUUAAGUUUGAAAUAUGCAAUUGCAUCACUCAAAGAUGAUCCCGCGUUGUAUUAGCUAGUUGGUGAGGUAAAGGCUCACCAAGGCGAUGAUACAUAGCCGACCUGAGAGGGUGAUCGGCCACAUUGGGACUGAGACACGGCACAAACUCCUACGGGAGGCAGCAGUAGGGAAUCUUCGGCAAUGGACGAAAGUCUGACCGAGCAACGCCGAGUGAGUGAAGAAGGUUUUCGGAUCGUAAAACUCUGUUGGUAGAGAAGAACGUUGGUGAGAGUGGAAAGCUCAUCAAGUGACGGUAAUUACCAAGAAAGGGACGGCUAACUACGUG
rnacentral:rRNA from 1 species